rnacentral:rRNA from 1 species
GGGCGCGCGCACCUUCCAACCCCUUGAAUCGUCACACCCGACCCGGUCGCUCCCYYCGCUCGCGGGGGGCGCUCCAGUCCAACUCGCGUCUCGAAACGUUGCCGUCUGAGUCAACACGACAAAUCAAUCAAAACUUUCAACAACGGAUCUCUUGGUUCUGGCAUCGAUGAAGAACGCAGCGAAAUGCGAUAAGUAAUGUGAAUUGCAGAAUUCAGUGAAUCAUCGAAUCUUUGAACGCACAUUGCGCCCCCUGGCAGUCCGGGGGGCACAUCUGUUCGAGCGUCAUUACAACCCUCAAGCUCUGCUUGGUCUUGGGCGUCCCGUCCCCGCCUCGCGCGGCGGACGCGCCUCAAACUCCUCGGCGGUCCGCACCGGCUUCGAGCGUAGCAAUCGCACCUCGCUCACGGAGUCCGGCUCGGGUCCUGCCGCAUGACGACACACCGUUUCAUUUCGAAAGGUUGACCUCGGAUCAGAUGGGGAUACCCGCUGAACUUAAGCAUAUCAAUAAGCG